rnacentral:rRNA from 1 species
GGCUCAGGAUGAACGCUAGCUACAGGCUUAACACAUGCAAGUCGAGGGGCAGCAUUUCAGUUUGCUUGCAAACUGGAGAUGGCGACCGGCGCACGGGUGAGUAACACGUAUCCAACCUGCCGAUAACUCGGGGAUAGCCUUUCGAAAGAAAGAUUAAUACCCGAUGGCAUAAUUAGACCGCAUGGUCUUAUUAUUAAAGAAUUUCGGUUAUCGAUGGGGAUGCGUUCCAUUAGGCAGUUGGUGAGGUAACGGCUCACCAAACCUUCGAUGGAUAGGGGUUCUGAGAGGAAGGUCCCCCACAUUGGAACUGAGACACGGUCCAAACUCCUACGGGAGGCAGCAGUGAGGAAUAUUGGUCAAUGGGCGCAGGCCUGAACCAGCCAAGUAGCGUGAAGGAUGACUGCCCUAUGGGUUGUAAACUUCUUUUAUAUGGGAAUAAAGUUUUCCACGUGUGGAAUUUUGUAUGUACCAUAUGAAUAAGGAUCGGCUAACUCCGUGCCAGCAGCCGCGGUAGUACGGAGGAUCCGAGCGUUAUCCGGAUUUAUUGGGUUUAAAGGGAGCGUAGGUGGACAGUUAAGUCAGUUGUGAAAGUUUGCGGCUCAACCGUAAAAUUGCAGUUGAUACUGGCUGUCUUGAGUACAGUAGAGGUGGGCGGAAUUCGUGGUGUAGCGGUGAAAUGCUUAGAUAUCACGAAGAACUCCGAUUGCGAAGGCAGCUCACUGGACUGCAACUGACACUGAUGCUCGAAAGUGUGGGUAUCAAACAGGAUUAGAUACCCUGGUAGUCCACACAGUAAACGAUGAAUACUCGCUGUUUGCGAUAUACAGUAAGCGGCCAAGCGAAAGCAUUAAGUAUUCCACCUGGGGAGUACGCCGGCAACGGUGAAACUCAAAGGAAUUGACGGGGGCCCGCACAAGCGGAGGAACAUGUGGUUUAAUUCGAUGAUACGCGAGGAACCUUACCCGGGCUUAAAUUGCAUUUGAAUAAUCUGGAAACAGGUUAGCCGCAAGGCAAAUGUGAAGGUGCUGCAUGGUUGUCGUCAGCUCGUGCCGUGAGGUGUCGGCUUAAGGGCCAUAACGAGCGCAACCCUUAUCUUUAGUUACUAACAGGUCAUGCUGAGGACUCUAGAGAGACUGCCGUCGUAAGAUGUGAGGAAGGUGGGGAUGACGUCAAAUCAGCACGGCCCUUACGUCCGGGGCUACACACGUGUUACAAUGGGGGGUACAGAAGGCAGCUACCUGGUGACAGGAUGCUAAUCCCAAAAGCCUCUCUCAGUUCGGAUCGAAGUCUGCAACCCGACUUCGUGAAGCUGGAUUCGCUAGUAAUCGCGCAUCAGCCAUGGCGCGGUGAAUACGUUCCCGGGCCGUGUACACACCGCCCGUCAAGCCAUGAAAGCCGGGGGUACCUGAAGUACGUAACCGCAAGGAGCGUCCUAGGGUAAAACU